AACGAGAAGAACCUUACCUACUCUUGACAUCCAGAGAACUUAGCAGAGAUGCUUUGGUGCCUUCGGGAACUCUGAGACAGGUGCUGCAUGGCUGUCGUCAGCUCGUGUUGUGAAAUGUUGGGUUAAGUCCCGCAACGAGCGCAACCCUUAUCCUUUGUUGCCAGCGGUCMGGCCGGGAACUCAAAGGAGACUGCCAGUGAUAAACUGGAGGAAGGUGGGGAUGACGUCAAGUCAUCAUGGCCCUUACGAGUAGGGCUACACACGUGCUACAAUGGCGCAUACAAAGAGAAGCGACCUCGCGAGAGCAAGCGGACCUCAUAAAGUGCGUCGUAGUCCGGAUUGGAGUCUGCAACUCGAGUCCAUGAAGUCGGAAUCGCUAGUA
rnacentral:rRNA from 1 species